rnacentral:hammerhead_ribozyme from 1 species
AUCCAGAUGACGAGUCCCAAAUAGGACGAAACGCGCGUCCUCAAU